rnacentral:rRNA from 1 species
GAUGAACGCUGGCUACAGGCUUAACACAUGCAAGUCGAGGGGAAACGACGGGGAAGCUUGCUUCCCCGGGCGUCGACCGGCGGACGGGUGAGUAACGCGUAUCCAACCUGCCUCUGACUGAGGGAUAACCCGUCGAAAGUCGGCCUAAUACUACAUGGCAUCAUCUGAGGGCAUACAACGAAGAUAAAAGAUUUCAUCGGUCAGGGAUGGGGAUGCGUUUGAUUAGCUUGUUGGCGAGGUAACGGCCCACCAAGGCGACGAUCAGUAGGGGUACGGAGAGGAGGCUCCCCCAGAUUGGAACACAGCCCCAGCCCCAACUCCUACGGGCGGCAGCAGUGCGGAGUAAUGGGCAAUGAGCGGGAGCCUGAACCAGCCAAGUAGCGUGCAGGAUUACCGCCUUAUAAGUUUUAAACUGCUGUUAAGCGGGGUUAAAGUGAGGGACAUGUCCUUCAUUGCAGGUACCGAAUGAAUAAGGAACGGCUAACUCCGUG